GUACAACUCUGAGCGGUGGAUCACUCGGCUCGUGUGUCGAUGAAGAGCGCAGCCAACUGUGUGAAUUAAUGUAAACUGCAUACUGCUUUGAACAUCGACACUUC
rnacentral:rRNA from 1 species